rnacentral:rRNA from 1 species
GACGAAAGCUGGCGGAGUGCUUAACACAUGCAAGUCGAGCGGAGCGGCGAACGGGUGAGUAACGCGUGAGUAACUGCCCCCCUCUCUGGGAUAACAGUUAGAAACGGCUGCUAAUACCGGAAAGUGGGGGAUGACUCGCGUCCUAUCAGCUUGUUGGUGGGGUAGUGGACUACCAAGGCGACGACGGGUAGCCGGCCUGGGAGGGCGACCGGCCACAAUGGGCUGAGAUACGGCCCAAACUGCUACGGGAGGGAGUGGGGGGGAAUAUGGCACAAUGGGGGAAUGCCUUGUGCAGCAACGCCGCGUGCGUGAUGACGGGCUUCGGGUGGGAAACCGGUUGCAGCCAUGACGCGGUAGUGGCAGAAGAAGCACCGGCUAACUACGUGCCAGCAGCCGCGGUAAUUC